GACACUAACAUGUUCCACUCGUGUUCCGCAUAUAGCAUUUACUACCGAGAAUGUAGUAAACUCAACUUUACUACAUUUUAUUCAUACCACCCAUUGAGUCGUAACAAAGACAGAAUCAAAUGCUCAGAACAGAGAUGAGGCGCCCCAAAAAUAACUACCACCCAGCUGUCGCUGUUUUCCACUUCAAAUCCUUCAACGAGUGAAAGUAAUUUAUCUGACGAGAUGUAAACAAAGACGCAUUCAAAUCUCGUGCACACAAAAAGGGUAUAAGCAUCGUAAACAUUCGCGGACUUGGCACUUUUGAUGAAGUCAUCAGACUUUCCCUCCUUAUUGCCUUCACCCUUCCGCAACCCUGAACACCACGCGACACCGGAUGACCACAUUCAGCACCAGAUAGUACACUCCGAGAAAUCCGGCUUUGAUCCAGAACCCGACCUCCACAGCAAACACACCCAGCUCGAAGAAAAUCCACUGCAGGGCAAGGCUGAACACGGCACUGACGAAG